rnacentral:rRNA from 1 species
GCAAACAGCGUGCCGCGACCCGCGGUAAUCGGUAGGGUGCAGGCGUUAUCCGGAAUCCCUGGGCGGAAAGCGUGCGUAGGUGGCGCGUUAAGUGAGAUGUUACAUCGUGUGGCUCAACCAUGGCGAGGCGUCUCAUACUGGCGUGCUAGAGGACAGCAGAGGCAAGUGGAAUUGGUAGUGUAGCAGUGAAAUGCGUAGAUAUUACCAGGAACACCAAUGGCGAAGGCAGCUUGCUGGGCUACUCCUGACACUGAGGUACGAAAGCGUGGGGAGCGAACGGGAUUAGAUACCCUAGUAGUC